AGGAUGGAUGAGAAGAGAAAUAUAUUUGAAGGGCAGAGACAUUUGUUGUUUCCAUUGGUCUCACCCUACCACGGGCAGUGGUAUCUAAGAAACAGGCACCAUGUCACUUCUUAACCAGCUUUUUAACAGAGGCGUUUUGGGAACUCGAUGCAAAACAUGCCUGAACCUCGCAAUUUCACGCAUUAAGCUGCUACAGAACAAAAGAGAUGUGCAACUGAAACAAAUGUGCAAGGAGAUAAGCCAAUUCUUGCAGGCUGGCCAAGAGGCAAUUGCUAGAAUCCGGGUGGAGCAUAUUAUACGAGAACAAAAUAUAUGGGCUGCAUAUGAAAUCUUGGAGUUGUUCUGUGAAUUUGUUCUUGCGCGUGUACCUAUAAUUGAGAACCAGAGGGAAUGCCCCUCGGAAUUGCGAGAAGCCAUUGCAAGUAUAAUUUUUGCUGCUCCUAGAUGUUCUGAUGUACCAGACUUAUUGCACAUCAAGAACUUGUUUACCACUAAAUAUGGGAAAGAAUUUGUCUCUGCAGCAUCAGAACUUCGUCCUGAUUCAGGCGUAAACCGCACGAUCAUUGAAAAGCUUUCAGUUACUGCUCCAUCUGGAGAGGUAAAACUCAAGGUCUUGAGGGAGAUUGCUGAAGAAUACAAUAUAGCAUGGGAUUCUUCUAAAACUGAGGCUGAAUUUCGGAAAAAUCAUGAAGAUCUUCUGGGAGGAGCAAAGCAAGUUAGUGCUGGAGUUACGCUUUCUCAUACGCCCAGCAGAAAUGGUUCUAAUAAUUCACCAUCUCGUACUAAGGAACCUUCUAACAAGUCUGUGCAUGAUAAACAAGAAUAUAAACAACUUGAAGCUCCCAGCCUUUCUAACAAUAAUUCUGCAUUGAAUAUUAAUGAAAUUGAACAGUCCCACAAAAAUAAUGAUGUUCCCGCUGGAGAUGCCCAAAGUGAGACAAGAUUUCAAUCUUCUGAUGUACUGGAGAAGGCGCGUGCUGCCAUUGCUUCUGCAGAUCGUGCAUCAGCAGCUGCUCGUGCUGCUGCUGCACUAGUCCAGAGUAGUUUUGCAUCAUUGAAGCUGGAAGGUAAAUAAAUCUUCAGUGAUCGUAAUAACGGAAAAGAAACGUUAGGAACUAAAUGCGAAAGGAGAAAGUGAUGUUCUUUAUUGCGGAGGUGACAGCUUCAUACGCUUGUUUCAAGUAAUAAGAAUUGUGCGGUAUGGGAUAAACUUUUUGUAGUUGUGAUACUUGUUAGGUGUUGUGGCCUUUUCAACCCAACCCAACAUGUGCAAGUGUGAUGAGACCUUCAUGUGCUAUUAUAUUUGACAGGAUUGAUUUUUUUUAUUGACAACCGCUGGUUAUCAUCAGUUAUUAUUUGAAGAUGUGUGGG